GGCGCGUCCAAUGAUGACUGGGGGAUCCCGGCGAGCAACAUGACUAAAAAGAAGCGGGAGAACCUGGGCGUCGCUCUGGAGUUGGAAGGCUCUGCUGCCCUCUCCAGCGGCUGGUGUGCUGUGUUUCAGAUCGAUGGGCUGGAGGAGAAGCUGUUGCAAUGUCGGAGGGACCUGGAGGCGGUGAACUCCAGGCUCUAUGGGGCGGAGCUGAGCCCAGAGGCCAGGAAGUCUCUGGAGAAGGAGAAAAACAGCCUGAUGAACAAAGCCUCCAACUAUGAGAAGGAGCUCAAGUUGCUUCGGCAGGAGAACCGGAAGAACAUGCUGCUCUCCGUGGCCAUCUUCAUCCUCCUGAGCCUCAUCUACGCCUACUGGCCUAUGUGAGCCUGCGGUUUCUCCAGUCAACAGCCCAGUCACAGCCAAGCAGGCCCUUGAGGGCUCAAGAGGACCAAGGCAGAGACCAGCCUGUGAGGACGCAGCCCUCGUCUCCAGCCUAAAGAGGCUCCAGAGGACGACUAAGAGACUUAACCAGCCCACCCAGGCCUGCUAAUCUGCACCAGGGCAACAUCUGUGGGACCCCAGCAGAGGGCCCUGAAGAAGGGGGUUCUACAGGGCAUGCAAAUGGCUAAGCCGGACUUUCUGGAUCUGCCAGAACACCCCCUUCCUGCCAUGAGGACACAUGCAUAUACGAGUUGGGCUCCUCUCUUCCCAGCCCGAACCUAACCCCAGGACCCACCACAGAACAGAAGAGGCUCAAGGCACACAAUCCCCCGCCCGCCCCCAUGUACCUCAAAGAAAUGCCAGCCUGGCCGCUACCCACAUUCAUAGGGAACCCCUAGCUCUGGCAUAGGCAGGACCUGGGCCAAUCACCCUGAGGGAGGCGGGGACAGAAAACAGUCGCUCAUCACCCACCGUUCACUGUCCUGACGAUGUAGAGACCAGUGGGCACAAAGUGCCUGUCGUCCCGCCCUGUGUAGCUGAGCUUUGGGGUGCCGCUGGAGCCCUUGAUGAUCUUCAUCUCCAACCUG